rnacentral:lncRNA from 1 species
UGGUCCAAGGUGGUUAAUUCACAGCUAGUUAACCCCUCUCAAGCUGCUGAAAACAUCCUCAUAUUCAGGUAGAAGCAGUGAAACUAAAACACAUCAAAAUCCAACACUAAAGUACAAACUAGGGAGUAAUAUGAGCGAAUCCCUUAUACCUUGAAGCAAAUCAGUUACUAACUGAUUUGGGUUGCAGGAACACCUUCACUACUGUUCCCUCGCAGCAAGAGAACACUGCUACAGCCUCCCAACCUGCCGGCGCAAGGAGAAGAAGUCGAAGAAGCCGAAACUACCAAACCAAGCUCUCUUGAGCUCCAAAUCCAAGAGAGAGAAAGAGAAGAGCUAAAAAACCUAUUUUUCCUGAGCUUACAAGUGAUAAGCAUCCUCAGGGUCGAGCUGGGAGGGAUAAGGAUGGAUAGGUGAAGUGAAAUAACCAAAAUAGCCUUGCUGCCACGCAGCUGCUGCUGCUGCUGCUUGCUAUACCGGUACAGCGUAAUGUCUGUACCGGUACACAAAGCAGAAAAUGCUGAAUUUCGCCAGUUCAAUGCACUUUCUUGCUUCAAGAUUUCCAAUCAUCCUCUAACUUGUUCAAAAGCUUGUCCAAACCUUUUAGAACAUGUAGGAUAGUUCCACAACUCAUGCCACACACUCGAACUCCGCAAUUUGCAAAAGUUCAGUGUAUUACAGGACAGGAGCUUCUAUCGAGGAAAACAAUGUGUGGAACGAGCGCUGCCGAGCUUCUGCCCGAUGGAGUGCCCUGCGAGCGCGAGAGAGAGAGAGGAGAGCGUGAGAGCAAGAGAGAGGCGAGGGAGCGAGAGAGAGGCGAAGAAGCGAGAGAGAGGGAGAAACAGAGAUAGUUAGAGGGAGCUGUGCGGGAGAGAGAAGUGUAGUAGGGUUUGGUUUGGGUUAGCUUUAACAAAAAGUAAAAAAGGGGUGAGCUUAGAAGCUAGUGUGCUAGUGGAUUAAUAUCAACCGUUGGAUCUCUGAGUUGUAGGAUAUACACCAAAGGAGAAAUGUCCAAGUAGACUUUUCCAAAUAAAAAAGGAUUCGGGACCAAUUGUGUCACGCCCCGCGACUGCCUAUUUGGUCUGUUUCGGGCACGCCGACAGACCGCCGAACGGACAGGGUUUUUCCUGUACCGCGGACAGAGUCUCCCCUGUACAUUCAAGGCGUCGCAAUCAAUACAAUGUACAAAGUUCCAACAAGGAACACAUUUCAAUCAAAGAUUGCAUAAGAAAGUAUCAAAAACAUAAUCUACUUGUUAUUACAAGCAUUCACAUUCUUACAUUUUACAUCCCAAAUACUUAUUACAUUCAACUUUCAAAUACAAUCCGAUUUAACAUGAUUAUUACAACUUGAUUCUUUUCAUUUUCUACAUCCCUAAGCAAAGCCGACUCAGGAUACCGCUAUCUCUGGUCUCCGUGGUAGUACGCUAACUAUGAUGCUACGCCCUCGCCUCGCGCCGCCGCGCCGCUCACGUGUGAACCUGUAACACCCCAAAACCACGUGGGGUGAGAACCAACUCCAUGGUUCCCAGUGGGUACGGCCACCCAAGGGAAAAGCUCGACCAAUAGGUCCAAGGGAGGCAACUGCAAGUUAGUUCAAUAAACAGAUAGAUAUAUAUCUUGAUUAUGCAACGAAUAAAACCAUGCAUUGCCUCACGAAUGCAAUAUGAAGAUCAUGCAAUGAUGCGACUAUACAAUCAACUAGUAAUUCAAUCGAUUACUACUUUCAUCCAAUUGACAUUUAAGGUUUUCUGUCAUUUACCAUUUUAAUCAUAAAGUUUCAUCUAUCUUUACAAAGCUAACCGCCCGACUCGGUCUUGAGUCAAUCGUCUGCGGAGUACCGCACAAAGCCAGGCCCGAGGCGAAGGACGUCUCACUUGCACCUCGGCCUUAAAUCCCCUCAACUAGGACAUCACUAUAGCUCAUAAGUUUAUUACCCAAUCACUUGGCUAACCCGAAGGUUUCGCCCUCAACAAACUCACCAACCCAAAAUCCCAUUAACCGGGGAGAUACCCGCUACAACCCGGUGGGACCGUCCUCUGGGGAGAUAACCGCUACAACCCAGUGAUGUCGACUCCGGAGCACAUCGCCCGAGGGGGAGCUACCACAACCUCGAGCAAGGACUAAAGGUGAGUAUGAUCAAUGAUCAAAUCCAAAAUCUUGAGGAUGUCAAGUUCAAUCCAUUCCUUAACUUUAGGAAGACUAUGCUCAAAUGACCCUAACUCUAGGGUUGAAAUGUCAUAAUAUUUCCAUCAUUCUUUUCUUUGCAUUCUUUACUAUCACUUGUGUCAUAUACACUACUAUAUUCUUGGACUCAUGCCACACUUGUUUUCUAAGUGUUCAACAUGCCAUAAGUGUUUCCACUAUACUAAUCAUAUGCCACUCGAUCUAAUAUAUAUAGAUUGUCCACGUCACAUAACAUAGUUCAUAUAUCAUUGUUUUCCGAUGUCGAGUUCUCUAAUUCACCUAGAGUUUAUUGACCCAAGUUCAACA